rnacentral:lncRNA from 1 species
UAGAUAUAUAUGUCUAGAUUCAUUAAUAUCAAUAUAAAUAUGGAAAAUGCUAGAAUGAUUUACAUUAUGAAACGGAGGGAGUAGUUGAUAUUGAUUGUUUGAAAUAUACAGCUCCUUCGGAUAUAUUUUAAAUGAUUUAGUUAAACAUGAGCAGGUAACAGUUACCAUCGAUGGAGCGUGACCGGGCCAGACGUACUGACGUACCCAUCCGGAACGAGCAGUGUAAUGCAAGAAAGUCCUGUAGUUUGGUUUCUAGAAGGAAAAAAGAACGAAUGUUAGUUGUUUUCUAGCCAGCUAUUAAUUUCAUUUUUUUUCCUUUUAAUAACAUUCUUUACUUUCCAAGAGACACUGGUAAAUAUUUUUCAAAACGAUCGGUAACCCAUUUAUAUAGGCAAUUUUAAAUCCGCCUCUAGUCAAAGAACUUGUAGAGAGAUUUAGGUAUUUGUCUAGACGUUCAUGGCGACCGCUUCCUCCUCGGCCUCCACACUGGGGCCACCUCUACAUCAUCUUUCUCUGCUCUCACCCUCAUCGCUACUCCAGUCAUCAUCAUCAUAUCGUUCUCCUCCUCCUCUAACAGCGGAUCCUCAUCAGAGUCCUUCACCGGGGACCUGUUGUACCACCACUUGUCAUCGCUAUCCUAAUCAUCGGAAAGCAUUUCACAUGGCAAUGGUGGCAGCGACAACGAGGAGGAGGAGGUGGUGUCCCCGUCAGAGGUCCUCCGCCGUUGUUCUCCUCCUCCUCAGUGGUGGAAGUGUACUAUGGCUGGCACGUCGAGUCCAUCAUGGCCACAGAUAGAGAAGAAUGCAAAGAGGGAGAGCACGUUGAGAAAAAAACACACAGUGUUCUCUAUUUAUUAGAAAAUAGACAGCGUGGGAGGUGAGGAGGCGUGGCGUAGUAGUGCAGGAUGUAACCAGCAUCUGGUGAUUCACUUCCGAUGUAGUGGAUAUAGUUUAAGUAGUAGCGUGAGGGAGAUGAAAAGAACAGACACAAACAGGCAUUUAAGAGUACAUACCGCUUGAAAAAUGUCUUCAACAUAGAUGGGCGCAACUUAAUUGCAUCGAGCGUAUAAAUGAAUCAUUUUUGUAGGCCAACUCUUAGGACAGCCACGUGAGAAAAUUGUGUUACCAUGGGUGACUGCCUUAACUAUAUAUGUGUGGUAUUUUGUUUACACAAGUGAAAUUCUUUCAAUUUACAUAUAUAGGUGCCUGUUUUAGGCGACCGUCCGUGGUAUUUUAUUUAUAUAUAUGAUGAAGCUUUCGACCCUAUAUAUAUACCAUGUUAAAUUUAAAGUAGACGGCUUUUAAUUAUUUUUGUGCGCGUAUAAAAUUAGGGGUCGGGAACCAACGAAAAUCAUUUUUCUACUGUUGAAUUGCUAGGGAUAAAUACAGCUUGUUCCCCAGAAUACAUGUAAUCAUGCAUGAAUAAUGCAGAAUUUAUAGUGGGUCGAUAUCCAGAGCUGGCGUCAUUUAUUUGCAAAGCAUCCAUAUCCAGUAGUCAUAUAUAUGCAUAUGCAUGCAUGCUAAAACACCACAAUUGGGCAGAAAUUGAUAAAAACGACGUCUGAACAGCAGCUAGUGUAGGUGUACGUACACGCACGUAUGCAUGCCAUGUAUUUAUGUACGUAGAUAUAUACGCUCAUACAAUACGGACAGUUGUGCCUAGCUAGCUAUAUAGAAGCUAGCUAGCGUACAUCUGUGGAUAGGAUAGGCCAAACGAAACGAAUGGACCGUAUCAUAUGCAUGUGACAUGCAUGAAUGUAUAUACAGUAGAUAGGGCAUGCACCAGCUGUAUAUUAUACUCCAUCCGUAUUUUAAUACAUGACGCAGUUGACUUUUUAACCAACGUUUGAUCAUUCGUUUGAUUAAAAAAGAUUUAUGUAAUCAUCAUUUAUUUUAUUAUGAUUUAAUUUAUCAUCAAAUGUUUUCUUUAAGCAUGACAUAAAUAUUUUUAUAUAUGCACGACAAUUUUGAAUAAGACGAAUGGUCAAAUGUUGGUCAAAAAAUUAAUGGCGUCAUACAUUAAAAUAUAGAGGGAGUAUAUAAAUUAAGCAUAAUAAUGAUAUAUAUAGCUGGGGUAUAUACGUAAAGUUUAAGGUAUUUAUACGGGCAGUAGCCAGCAGGUAUGUACUGCCAAUAUAUAUACGGGUGUCAUGAAAGGUGCAGCCAGGAGUACUUAUGACGUACAGUGUCACGCGUGCUAAUACGUUGCCCUUUAAUUUGGUAUCCCUACCUUUCUAUAAUUUCCUCCUUGGAAAGUUGGAAACAAAUUCAAUUAGCAAAAGAAAUAAUAGCAAACCACUACUACGGUAAUAGUUUUCAGAAGCUGCUAAAAUGCAUUUUUCAUAGGCAGCUCGGUUUUACCAUCACUAACAAAAGGCCUAUGCAGGCAAUGUGCCGUCUAUGAGAGCAAGUAUAAAUAGUGAGCUAAGCCUACCGUAAACUUACGUGGAGGAGAAAGGUAACAAAAAAAAUCGAGGGUAUUGGCUCUCAUGCAAAAGCUAACUUAACACAAGCUGCAAGACAAAUAAAUUGAAUGUAUAAGUGAGAGAUAGAGAGAGGAGAAGAAAAUUAUAGCUAACCUUAUAUCUAAUCUAUUAUAUAUGUUAGUUUUAAGAUGAGCUAAUAGUAAAAAGUAAGCUCUACUAUUAUCCUUGCUCUUAAUUUCCACGUAUAGCCAGCUUAAAAGGACGACUGAUUUUUUUCCUAAAAAAAACUCUCACCUUAAUUAUGUUUAUUAGCUUUAUUAGCCACAACAACAAAAAAGACUUGGGAGUUAUUUUGGUCGUGGUCUAUUUUGAAACAUUGGUUUUUAAAUCACCAAUGACACAGAUAUAAGACUUUUUUUAGUUGCUUUGGUUAUUUUUCCACGACUUAUAUAUAGGCCGAAGCUUUGCAAUACGUCGUCAAAAUUUCUCUCAUGUGUUGUCAAUAUUGGUUACCCUGCAAAAAAUAUGCAAAUGAUACAAUUCGAUUCGGUGCAAUAUGAAAUGCAAAAAAAGUUUUCUAGAUACUGCUCCCUCCAUAUUUUAAUGUAUGACACCGUUGACUUUUUAACCAACGUUUAACCAUUCGUUUUAUUUAAAUUUUUUAUACGAAUAUAAAAAUAAUUAUAUCAUGCUUAAAGAACAUUUGAUGUUAAAUCAAGUUAUAAUAAAAUAAAUGAUAAUUACAUAAAUUUUUUGAAUAAGAUGAUAGGUCAAACGUUUGUCAAAAAGUCAACAGCGUCAUACAUUAAAAAAGGAAGUACAAUAAUAUGGACAUGUACAUACGUACGUACGCAUAUAUAUAUACGGCAACCUUAAAUAGCAAGAAAAAGCAUCUUGUACUCUGGUACUUAGCAGCAGUAGAGGCCUUUUUCUUUUAGGCUGCAUUCAUGCAUGCAAGGCCAGUGCAGUGGGGGACCCUAAAUAUAUGGAAGGUGCCAUUUCACAUCUCGUAGGGUCCGGAGAUUAAUUAUUAUAAUGUGAUCGGACCCCCUUAAUCAAUUGAUGGCUUGUCAACUAGGGUGACCAGAGCUUUGCCUUAAUCCCAACCAUAAUUAAGCACUGGUUUUAAUUUUUCUUUUGAUUAAUUAGUUAAAUGAUUGAUUAAGCAACGCAAUCGAUCUCUGAGAACGUAUCAUACACACUCCAUUUUUGUGUGGACUACAUGUGUGUGUAGAAGAUAAACCCAGUACGAUCCCUCUGUUCACAAAAUAGAUAUGGCCGUUUUAGAAUACGUACAGACAAACUCAAAAUCUUUAAUUAACUCACUAUAUAUAAUAAUUACUCAUUCCGUCCUUAAAUAUAAGGGAUUUUGGUUGGAUGCGUCACAUCCAACCAAAAUCCCUCGUAUUCAGGGAUGGAGUGAGUAUCAAAAGUUGACAUGUAAUAAAGUUGAAAUUAAUAAAUUUAUUUACAACAUAAAAAAAUAUUUGCGUGUAGUUCAGUAAUUUCUAUAAUAAACAUAUAAUUAGAAAAUAUAGUGUUCAAACAUGUGCAUUAGAGACUGUUGAUGUCCUUAAACAUCAAGUAAAGUUUUUUUAGAGAAGGUAAUGUAUUUUUCUAAUUUACCCGGUCUCUACAUCCAACCAGAUGUAUGCAUCCAUUUAAAUUAGGAACUUAGCCCCUUAAACAAGCUAAUCUGAAAUUUGUUUCUACGGAUAUUUCAACUUAUGACUUUGAGGUGGUGCUACUCAAGUCACUGCUACCACUAAAUAACAAGUAAAAAAGAGAACGGAGGGACCGAAAGCAAGGAGUGACAGUGUAAGCUCUGUUUGGUCCUGCAUCAAUUAAUUAGUUUUUGUUCACAAAGAGGGGCCAGCCAUGGGAUAUAUGAAAGUGAUGCCAUUCGUGGAAAUGGAGCCCCCCGGCCAUAUUGUCAUGUCCUCGCAAGCUAAAAGUAUAGGGUAAUUUGCACUCAAACACAAAACAAAACUUAUUGGCCAUUGAUUGAAUUCAAUUGCAUGCAUAUAUGCACUGACGGCCCUUUUCCACAAGCAAAACAUGGAGCUGUUGUGCAAACGAUAGAUCAGAGCAUGUCGUUCUUGACACGUCAAUUUAAUCUGCAUAACAUGUGGACCAUCCAUGAAACAAACGGUACCAGUACUUUUAUAUACACGAGGAGAAAGAGAGAUGCCUGCUGGCCUGUCGGUAGGUAUUACAAUAUCUCAUAAUUAACGAUUAAUAUAAAUAAUUGCCUCAAAAAAAAAACUUUUCGAUCGAUCUUCUGGUUAGUUUGACAAAUUAAUUAUGAAAAGAAAAAACACAUGCCAUGCACGGUUUAAUCAAUCACCUUUCAUAUUUGACCACUAUACUUAUCUUUUUCCUUUUCUUAAUCAUUUCAUUUCUUGUCAUCACUCAUCACCGACUUGAAAUACAUAAUGCAACUUGUUUUAGUGUAAAAAACAUGUGUUUGCAUGAAUGAUAUCGCAAAGAAUCCAGCUCUGGCGAUUGGAUGUCUGACUUCUGGGAGUGAAAAGAACAGAAAAGGAGAGGAGAGAAUAAUAGGAAGAAAAUUUAGUUGGGACGCAGGCAACUUUCAUGCUACACGAAUAUACCACACUGAAGAAAGUGAUGUCUCAUGAAAGCAAGUUUUUUGUUAAAAAAAAAUAAAUUAUACUACAUGGAUUGUAUGAAAGGAAGUUGUUCAUGCAGCAGCUAGCAGCCUGCCGUUGGUUUUCUUUUGCAAGAAAAGGACGACGAGAGCAUGGCACGACUGCAUGCAGAUCGUCCUGGGAUUACUUGUUGGUAAAGGACAGCUACAAAUGGUUGGAAAAUCUUGAUGCAAUCCUGAUUAGCACACACAUGAGGUGAUUAUUAUAUACAAGUUAUUCUACUUGGCCACUUGAUCGUUCUUCCAAAAAGGAUUGCAUGCAGAUAUGCAUGUAGAGAUUGUAAAGAGGGGGAAAAAAAAGAUGUUGCUCACAAAAUACAAUAUGCAGAAAUAAUAUGGUUCCGCUUGAUUAAAAUAAGCUAGUUGAGCUUGCCCGUUAAUUAAGUAAGGUCAUGUUUAGCACAGCUAUAGAUCCCAUAUCAAGAUUGAAUUUAAAUUUUAUACACUAAAUUACAAUGGUAUAAAAUUUUAUAUUCAUCUAAAACAUGAAUAAAAUGGUUCAUCCAAAUAUUAUUAAUGUAAUAACACGAUACACCAAGCUGAUCCAUAAAUUUGUAAAGCUAGGAAUACCUAAUUUUAAAAAAUCUUGAAUUAAGAGCAGUGUCAAUAAGACCAAAUUAAGAGGCUAGUAACCAUCAAGCAAAUCCAGAAGAAAUAUAUUUCAAGAAGCAGGCAAACUAAACCUGCUACGUACUAACACGUAAUCCCUCCGUUUCACAAUGUAAAUCAUUUUAGCAUUUCCUACAUUCAUAUUGAUGUAAUGAAUCUAGACAUAUAUAUCUAUCUAGAUUCAUUAACAUCAAUAUAAAUGUGGGAAAUGUUAGAAUGACUUGCAUUGUGAAACGGAGGAGGUAGAGCAACGACUAGAGUGGUUCUGUCAUCAGGUCAAGCCGUCAAGAUUAAUUGCUAGCACAUGGAAGAGAGAAUUAGCAGCUAGGAUUAUUAUUAUUGAUUAGUUGGGUCAAGAGGCGCAGGAGUUAACACGAAACACUCGGAGACCGGCUGCGACCCACCAUCGAGAUCGAGUACUCUACGUCGUUGACACACACACGUACGACGUAUAAUACACACGAGAUAUACGCACGUAACGACGUAGUAAUGUAUGGACAUACGUGCAGGGUGCAGCACACACCACACACUUAAAUUCAGCCCAGUACAGAUGACAGCUAGCCACACGGGAAAAGAGAAGAAGAAGAAGAAAAGUUGUGACAGUGACGAAACGCGACUCGCAGGGAUACUCAUGUCCAGCAAAAAUCCUCCUCCUUUUUAUAAUUAAUUUUCCUCAUCGUCAGCUGACCACGCAAAAAUAAUCAACCAUUUUCUUUAUGUAAUAUAUGCACCCAAAGAUCACUAUUGUAGUCUUCUAUAAGAAAAUAUGUAUAAUUUAUAUUUUAUAAGUGAUGAAACAAAGACUAUUGGCAGUGACAGCAGAGAAUAAAUAAAUAUGCACACGCACGAAUGGCUAUUAAUCAUCAUUUGGCUGAUAUAUAGUCAUGCAUAUAUAAACAUGAAACGAGUGCAAAAAACAUAAAGUAUAUAUUAUUAUUAUUGAGAAAUAAUUAUAUAUUUAAAAUCUAUGGAAAAAAAAUUGGCACAAGAGCUAUAGAAGUGCGCAUCGAGUUGGCUGGCACACAUGGAGGUGAGCUAAGGCAGGGUUGUGCUGUAUAGUGGUCCUGGCUAUGCUAAUUCGCUGCACUCACUCGAUCGAAAUUAGGAAGAGAUUAUGGAUUGGACUGGAAAAUUAUUUGGAAGAGAUUACAAGGGAUUAAAUUAAAUUAAAUUCAAUGAAAUUGGACCCUCCAUCCAUCUCAUCCAUCGGAUGGGUGCCCUACCGACGCCGGCCCGGCCCUCUUGUCCUACACCACCACCAGUGCACGCACCAUACUGUCUAGUGUACUCCUCCUCCCUUUUCUCUCUCUCUAACACCUCAUCUUGACACGUCUUUCUCUCUCUAAACACACGCAAAGAGAGAGAGAGGGAAAGUACUAGUACUACACUACUACGACGCACUGUUAGCUUCACACAUAGGGUCCACGACGAGACAACGCCGACGACGACGGUGGUAUACGUACCACGGCUCUAUUUAAAAAGCUUCCGACUGCUACAGUUUUUCUCUAAACAAUAUAUUUUUCAUUUCGAUUUUGAGAAAUUAUAGUUAAUAACUACAAAAUCUAGAAAAUAAAUCAGAAGUCAAAAAUCCA